rnacentral:rRNA from 1 species
ACUCAAAGGAAUUGACGGGGGCCCGCACAAGCAGCGGAGCGUGUGGUUUAAUUCGACGCAACGCGAAGAACCUUACCUAGGCUUGACAUGCACGUGGUAAGACCUGGAAACAGGAAUGACCCGCAAGGGAGCGUGCACAGAUGCUGCAUGGCUGUCGUCAGCUCGUGCCGUGAGGUGUUGGGUUAAGUCCCGCAACGAGCGCAACCCUCGCUGCCAGUUACCAUGUCUGGCGGGACCGCCGGGUCCAACCCGGAGGAAGGUGGGGAUGACGUCAAGUCAGCACGGCUCUUACGUCUAGGGCUACACACACGCUACAAUGGCCGAUACAAUGGGCUGCAAAGGGGCGACCCCGAGCGAAUCCCAUCAAAGUCGGUCUCAGUUGGGAUUGCAGGCUGCAACUCGCCUGCAUGAACGAGGAGUUGCUAGUAACCGCAGGUCAGCACACUGCGGUGAAUACGUUCCCGGGCCUUGUACACACCGCCCGU